GUUCAGAACGUCGUGAGACAGUUUGGUCCCUAUCUGCCGUGGGCGUUGGAAAUUUGAAGGGGGCUGCUCCUAGUACGAGAGGACCGGAGUGGACGAACCUCUGGUGUUCCGGUUGUCACGCCAGUGGCAUUGCCGGGUAGCUAAGUUCGGAAGAGAUAACCGCUGAAAGCAUCUAAGCGGGAAACUUGCCUCAAGAUGAGAUCUCACUGGAACCUUGAGUUCCCUGAAGGGCCGUCGAAGACUACGACGUUGAUAGGUUGGGUGUGGAAGCAUAGUGAUAUGUGUAGCUAACCAAUACUAAUUGCUCGUU
rnacentral:rRNA from 1 species